CUUCCUUCCUACUCCCUCCCACACACCCAGGAGCUCCAGCCUGUUAUGGGAUGGGCAUCCUACCAGGAACCAAGGAUGCUAAGAUGUCCUCCAAAAUGGAUUGCCUCAUAUCUAGUACCCGCCUGCUGCAGGCUUCUUCAUCUAGUUCCUCUGGGGACACACUGUGCAGCUAAUUCAUCCAGGCAGAUUCACUGGGAAGCUGUUGCUCAUGAGGGUAUUUCUGAGACUUUUUUUUGUGACCUUGCUGUAUGACUGGUGUAAUGAAGAAUCUCCAGGUGGAGAAAUGAUCCUGAAUUAUCCAGUGGGCCCUACAUGUCACCACAUUGCGAUCCUUCUAAGUAGGAAGCAGAAGAUCUGACACAUGCAGGAGAGGGGAAGGCAAUGUGACCAUGGAGGCAGAGAGGGGAGUGAUGUGGCCACAAACCAAGGAUUGUUGGCAGCUGCCAGUGGCCGAAGGGGCAAUGAAUGGAUUCUCCUUUGGAGCCUCUGGAGGGAGAAUGGCCCUGCUAACACCUUGAUUUUGGCCCAGUGAUACUGAUUUUGGACUUCUGCCCUCUAGAACUGUGAGGGAAUACUUUUCUGUUGCUUUAAGCCAUUGAAUUUAUGAUGAUUUGUUACAGCACCCACAGGAAACAAAUGCAUGGAUCUAACUUGAACCUAGUGAGUUAGAUUACUUCAGGGAAACACAAUAAAUAGUUAACAGGGCUUGUCAGGGGGGUGGGAGUGAGAUGAAAGUGUGAAGCUGAAGACAACCAUCAAGGCAUUUUUUCCCAAAAAGCACAGAAGGAGAUUCAAUCAUCAAAUGAGAGGCCUCACUCACCUCUGCAUAUUGGCCCUUAUCCUUUGAAAGAGAAUAAAGUAACAGCUGCUAUUCUUUCAGCCAAGAAAGGGCCACUGGAACAGGUCCAGAAGGAAAGAAAAGAGUGAUGGCAACUGCUGAUUCAAGAAGAUUGUUCUGUUUCAGUUUUUAUUUUAUUUUAGAUGUACCCCUUCUCCACAAUGAGUUUCUCAUACACGCAUCUAAUGAAAGACGCCUGUUCUCAACCCUCCUAGAAUUUCAAGAUGGGCAAACUUACAAGGAAAGCAAGGAUGAGUGCUAAUAUGUACCAUAUUCAUGUGAAUAUAAGUUUUUUUAAUAAGAAAAUCAAACUCUAAAAAU
rnacentral:lncRNA from 1 species